rnacentral:rRNA from 1 species
UACGUAGGGGGCAAGCGUUGUUCGGAAUUACUGGGCGUAAAGGGCGCGUAGGCGGCCAUUCAAGUCAGAGGUGAAAGCCCAAGGCUCAACCUUGGAACUGCCUUUGAUACUGGGAGCUUGAGUCCGGAAGAGGUGAGUGGAACUCCGAGUGUAGAGGUGAAAUUCGUAGAUAUUCGGAAGAACACCAGUGGCGAAGGCGGCUCACUGGACCGGAACUGACGCUGAGGAGCGAAACGUGGG